GACGGAGGGUGCUAGCGUUGUUCGGAAUGACUGGGCGUAAAGCGCACGUAGGCGGGUAUUUAAGUCAGGGGUGAAAUCCCAGAGCUCAACUCUGGAACUGCCUUUGAUACUGGGUACCUAGAGUGUGGAAGAGGUGAGUGGAAUUCCGAGUGUAGAGGUGAAAUUCGUAGAUAUUCGGAGGAACACCAGUGGCGAAGGCGGCUCACUGGUCCACUACUGACGCUGAGGUGCGAAAGCGUGGGGAGCAAACAGG
rnacentral:rRNA from 1 species